rnacentral:rRNA from 1 species
GGAGCAGCCCAGAGCCUGAAUCAGUGUGUGUGUUAGUGGAAGCGUCUGGAAAGGCGCGCGAUACAGGGUGACAGCCCCGUACACAAAAAUGCACAUACUGUGAGCUCGAUGAGUAGGGCGGGACACGUGGUAUCCUGUCUGAAUAUGGGGGGACCAUCCUCCAAGGCUAAAUACUCCUGACUGACCGAUAGUGAACCAGUACCGUGAGGGAAAGGCGAAAAGAACCCCGGCGAGGGGAGUGAAAAAGAACCUGAAACCGUGUACGUACAAGCAGUGGGAGCACAGAGCAAUCUGUGUGACUGCGUACCUUUUGUAUAAUGGGUCAGCGACUUAUAUUCUGUAGCAAGGUUAACCGAAUAGGGGAGCCGAAGGGAAACCGAGUCUUAACUGGGCGUUAAGUUGCAGGGUAUAGACCCGAAACCCGGUGAUCUAGCCAUGGGCAGGUUGAAGGUUGGGUAACACUAACUGGAGGACCGAACCGACUAAUGUUGAAAAAUUAGCGGAUGACUUGUGGCUGGGGGUGAAAGGCCAAUCAAACCGGGAGAUAGCUGGUUCUCCCCGAAAGCUAUUUAGGUAGCGCCUCGUGAAUUCAUCUCCGGGGGUAGAGCACUGUUUCGGCAAGGGGGUCAUCCCGACUUACCAACCCGAUGCAAACUGCGAAUACCGGAGAAUGUUAUCACGGGAGACACACGGCGGGUGCUAACGUCCGUCGUGAAGAGGGAAACAACCCAGACCGCCAGCUAAGGUCCCAAAGUCAUGGUUAAGUGGGAAACGAUGUGGGAAGGCCCAGACAGCCAGGAUGUUGGCUUAGAAGCAGCCAUCAUUUAAAGAAAGCGUAAUAGCUCACUGGUCGAGUCGGCCUGCGCGGAAGAUGUAACGGGGCUAAACCAUGCAC